AAUCUUAAUAAUAAAACUCUAGCAUGGAUAUGAUGAAUAGUUACUCUGCCUAAUUUUCAAAUUUGAGUUUUCUCUCUAGUUUAGACAUAACUGUUAUAAUUUAAAGCUUGCUCUAAACCUAAACUUGUGGGAAGAAAACUUGAUCUGAAGUCUAAGUUGUUAAUAGAUAUGAUAUAGAAAGGUUGAGCUGUUGUUUAUCUGUUCCUAGAGAUGCUAAAAUUCUGGAGAAUUUUAUUUUUGAAAAAUCUUUAAAAUAUUGCAUGAUGAGUUCCUGUAUGAUGAGAGUUUAAAUUCCUGUAUGGUUGAGCCACACAUUUACUUUUUACUACUUAUGAGCAUUGAGUGUGGUCAAGCUGUGUAGACCCUUAGGAGCUUGUCAUGUGGUUAAAUCAAGAUUCACUUGCACGUUCACUCACAUAUGCUGCUUCUACUCCGGAUGUACCAUCCACAUAUAUCCACUCAUUUCCAUCUCCAGAACCACCCAAAAAUAUUCUACUCCUAAUCCGGGAGAGAAUAGCCAAAAACAUUUCUGUUUUCCCCUGUGAAAUAAAUGCUCAAGUUAUCUUGUUACUAUCGCUUGCUAUAUUAUUUCAAGAGAUGAGUGCUCUAAAAAAAGAUACGAGAAAAUAAAAAUGGGCAAGUGCCUAGAACCUCGAAAGAAAAGAAAAAGUAAGACAAGAGGUAAAAAUGGACAAGUGUCCGACAGUAGAAUUAGGGGUACAAGAUACCCACCUGAGAGGAAAGAAAAAGAAAAGAUAGAGCAUCUCAUUCUCAUCACAAAUUUUCAAAAAGCAAGAAAGGUAUGUAUCUCCUCAAAGAGCAAAUGUAGAAUUAGACUUUCACCAUUGUUAUCACCAUCAUCACCAUACACCAUUCAUUCGCCACACAUGCACACCUUGAUUUAACUUAUUGACUUGUUACUUUGGAUCCAUGGUUUGACUAUACAAUAAAUGUCUUGUAAGUAUGUAUAUUUUAUCUCCCACCUAUGAGCUCCAGAUAUUAAAGCCUUAUUAGAGUAGGGUGAGAGAGAAGGCAAUGUCACUAUGCUUUAUACCACAAAUACCACAUAUAUUGAGAGAAGGCAUAUACCAUCACUGCCUUGGUAAGGAUCUAGAAAUACAACAAAAGAGAGAUCUAAGAGAGUCAUACAAGGAAUCUCUGAGUUUUAUUUAAAAAUCUGCAAAAACUCCAGAGCUAUAGCUGAUCAAGAAUAAGAGACAUGGCACUUGACUAGACUGUUCUAUCUUUUAACUACUCAAGACAGAAGUGACGGUUACAAGUCCCAUGGUGAAAGGUAAAGUAAGUAAGUUUUAAGCCUUGAUAGUUUACUCUAACUCAGAGAUGAGACCUCAUAUUAAAAGCAUGUGUACCGUGAAUUUUUAAAAGAUAAUGCAACAACUUAUGAUCCAUCACUGAGUCUAUCCUUGCUCAGGGACGAGCAGGAGGUAAGCUUGGGGGAGUUUGUUGACGGUCCUUAAAUAUCAAAUUUAAUUAUCAAAUAAACAAAGAAAAGGAUCCAAAUGAAAUCAACAUCCAGACUUAGGAUUUUAUCUGACAGAAAUCCAUGAGUUUUGGUGUUUGUCUAUUUCUGCAGGGGGUUAUCAGG
rnacentral:lncRNA from 1 species